GUGCUUGCACCGAGCGGAUGAGUUGCGAACGGGUGAGUAACGCGUAGGUAACCUGCCUCUUAGCGGGGGAUAACUAUUGGAAACGAUAGCUAAUACCGCAUAAAAGUCGACAUCGCAUGAUGUUGACUUGAAAGGUGCAAUUGCAUCACUAAGAGAUGGACCUGCGUUGUAUUAGCUAGUUGGUGAGGUAACGGCUCACCAAGGCGACGAUACAUAGCCGACCUGAGAGGGUGAUCGGCCACACUGGGACUGAGACACGGCCCAGACUCCUGCGGGAGGCAGCAGUAGGGAAUCUUCGGCAAUGGGGGCAACCCUGACCGAGCAACGCCGCGUGAGUGAAGAAGGUUUUCGGAUCGUAAAGCUCUGUUGUAAGAGAAGAACGAGUGUGAGAGUGGAAAGUUCACACUGUGACGGUAACUUACCAGAAAGGGACGGCUAACUACGUGCCAGCAGCCGCGGUAAUACGUAGGUCCCGAGCGUUAUCCGGAUUUAUUGGGCGUAAAGCGAGCGCAGGCGGUUAGAUAAGUCUGAAGUUAAAGGCUGUGGCUUAACCAUAGUACGCUUUGGAAACUGUUUAACUUGAGUGCAGAAGGGGAGAGUGGAAUUCCAUGUGUAGCGGUGAAGUGCGUAGAUAUAUGGAGGAACACCGGUGGCGAAAGCGGCU
rnacentral:rRNA from 1 species